rnacentral:rRNA from 1 species
AGUGAACGCUGGCGGUAGGCCUAACACAUGCAAGUCGAACGGCAGCACAGUAAGAGCUUGCUCUUACGGGUGGCGAGUGGCGGACGGGUGAGGAAUACAUCGGAAUCUACUUUUUCGUGGGGGAUAACGUAGGGAAACUUACGCUAAUACCUCAUACGACCUACGGGUGAAAGCAGGGGAUCUUCGGACCUUGCGCGAUUGAAUGAGCCGAUGUCGGAUUAGCUAGUUGGCGGGGUAAAGGCCCACCAAGGCGACGAUCCGUAGCUGGUCUGAGAGGAUGAUCAGCCACACUGGAACUGAGACACGGUCCAGACCCCUACGGGAGGCAGCAGUGGGGAAUAUUGGACAAUGGGCGCAAGCCUGAUCCAGCCAUACCGCGUGGGUGAAGAAGGCCUUCGGGUUGUAAAGCCCUUUUGUUGGGAAAGAAAAGCAGCAGGUUAAUACCCCACUGUUCUGACGGUACCCAAAGAAUAAGCACCGGCUAACUUCGUG